rnacentral:miRNA from 1 species
UUGGGUGACCGGCCAUCCUGGUUUGCCUGAGACUGAGGCAUUUCCUGGGUCGUAGGACUUUAAUACUAAAGUCAAGAUAGUC